rnacentral:lncRNA from 1 species
GGAAUACUUAAGGUAAAUAUAAUAAUAGUAAUAAAAGAAAUUUCAUGGGAAUGAUAUAAGAUAUCACUAGAGACACAGGGCCCCUCGAAUAUUAUCUUUAUUAGUACUACUACAGUUUAAAUUGCCCCUCGUGAACCACACCAUCUUCACGUUAACAAGUGAGGCCAGAAUGCAGUGCAGUCAUCAAAAGUUGUGUGCAUUUGGAUAAAGAGAAAUGAGGCAGACGAUGCUGAAAUGGGCUGCAGCUCCUGGUAGUUCAUACCAAGAGGGUCAUCUUCACUACCCCUCGGAAGAUGGUAGCUACGCCCUGCAAGGCAAGAUCCUGCUGCUUGUUGUUGUCGCUGCUUUUAGUCUCUAUCUUCUGGCCAUUGUGGUGUUUUUGCCUUUUCUUAGACGGGGGGGCGGCAGUGAUAAAUCAGACGACGAGGUUGGUAUUUGCUAAUCAUGAGCUGAUUCCGUUUCAUGGUUGGCUUUUCCUUUUUCUUUUUUGUUUGUUUGGGUGAUCCUCUAUGGGAUGCUCAAAUGGUGGGUUUUUUUUCCUGGGAAUUCUGGGAAAAGCUUUUCUGACUUACGAAUUCUGCAGAAGAAUUUAAUCACCAGCCAUUUUUAUUUGUUUAUUUUUCUCAGGUGAGCAAUGUAAGGUCCUUUUGAGGAUGAGAUCUCUUCGAUUAGCAAUAAAUACCUCCAGCACUGGGCAUGUGUAGAAGAAAAUAGAUGAUUACGUGAAAGAAUUUUAUUCAGUACUCUGGGGAAUGGUUGUAGAAGAAUGGUUAAGGCCAUUGUGGGAGUGACGAAUAUUUCAUCACAAAGAAGAUUUCUUCCAUUUCAAUAAAAACGGACAUACAACUCCUCAUUAACGAACUUCCACACAAUUUAGACGAGUGAAAAUAUGUUAGUAGUACUUAAAAUGGAAGUCUUAUCAUUUUAGAAUACAAAGCAAAAGAAUAUGGUAGAGAGAUUAUACCACAUGAGCUUUAACAUGAGAUCGAAGAAAGAAGUUGAAGGAAUCACUCGUAAAAGUUUCACCAUUGCACCCUUAAAUCUUAAAAC